CCCAGUGAGUAGAAACAUAGAAAAUAGUUCAUUAAUUACAUGCUUUCAUGAAAUGCAUCAUAACACAGAGAAAUCACAUAAUCUUGUCCGCCUCGGGGCUUAUGCAAUAUUUAUUCCCCACGGACCCUGGUUUCUGAGAGUCUGUCUUUUUGCAUGCAUCUUUCCUCUCAGAGGAUGGACAUGACAUCAAAAAUCCUUCUGUCGGUGCCCGGCUCCCCCAUAGGAGCUCACAAAGGCCUGUAACAUACAUGACAUGGUGUCUGGUCCACAG
rnacentral:lncRNA from 1 species